AUCCAGCUGACGAGUCUUAAGUGUGACGAAACGUGCGUCCUGGAU
rfam:Schistosoma curassoni strain Dakar, Senegal genome assembly, scaffold: SCTD_scaffold0002128